rnacentral:rRNA from 1 species
AUGCACCAGAUCAAGUUCCCGCCGUCGCCGUCACCACUUCUGGCUUGGAUCGCUACCCGCCACGUGUCGGCGGCGGUGAGGCUGCAGGCUGCUGCGCGCGGCCUCCUAGCGCGUCGGCGUGUGCGGGAGAUGCAUGGUCUGCAGCUGCCGCUCCUCCCAGUUGUCCUUCGCUGCGCAAAGGACCUCGAUCUCGUCCCCACAGACAGCGACCUCAAAGUCUGCGACAUCGACGGUUGGGGGGGCGCACCCCUCCUCGUCAUUCUCCAUCGCAAGCCCUCCACUCUUUUCUGUGCGGUGCAGACCAACAGCCGUCCGGCGGGGAGAAGGCAGGGUGUCACCGACAGGAGUGCACCGCGUAGCACCACUGCAUUCCGCCGGCCGCCGCAAGGGCGCCUCUGCUGGUCGCUCUUGCGACCACUUCCAGGUGGCCAUACCCAUGCACUCCUUUUGUCCAGAUGGUGUCCAUGGGAUCCAGGUGGCUGUACACGUGCACGUCCGACGUGCGGAUGGUGUCCACUUUUUGUUAAGGGGUCCAAAAUAAAGCAUCCCAGUCCAUUUCAGGUUGAGAGUAAUAAAACAAGCCGAGAUGUAAAAGGCUUGUUUUUAGGUGUUAGGUUUGUGUUGCGUCGAGUCAUGGUUAUAAGUUGGUUAGGCUGCAGCUCGAGGACAAGCUGCAUGUCCAGGUGGGGUGUAGUGUUAGAGUACGUAAUGGGCCUAAUGGGCCUGAGCUGGCGGUAUAGCCCAUUAGUCUUAGGGUUAAUUAGAGAUAAGGGUCGCUUGUUUGGGAGUUAA